rnacentral:rRNA from 1 species
UAGUCCUGGCCGUAAACGAUGGGCACUAGGCAAUGGGCUUACCUAUGAGGUUCAUUGCCGCAGCUAAUGUGUUAAGUGCCCCGCCUGGGGAGUACGCUCGCAAGGGUAAAACUCAAAGGAAUUGACGGGGGGAUCACACAAGCAGUGGAGCAUGUUGUUUAAUUCGAAGCAACGCGAAGAACCUUACCAGGCCUUGACAUGCACGGAUUAGCUUCCUGAAAGGGAAGUGACGCCUCUUCGGAGGUGGAACGUGUGCAGGUGUUGCAUGGCUGUCGUCAGCUCGUGCCGUGAGGUGUUGGGUUAAGUCCCGUAACGAGCGAAACCCUUAUUGUUAGUUGCCAGCGGGUAAUGUCGGGAACUCUAACAAGACUGCCAGUGCAAACUGU